GACGAACGCUGGCGGCGUGCUUAACACAUGCAAGUCGAACGGAGUGGCGAACGGGUGAGUAACACGUGGGUGACCUGCCCUGCACUUCGGGAUAAGCCUGGGAAACUGGGUCUAAUACCGGAUAGUGUGGGAUGGGCCCGCGGCCAAUCAGCUUGUUGGUGGGGUAAUGGCCUACCAAGGCGGCGACGGGUAGCCGGCCUGGGAGGGUGGACGGCCACAUUGGGCCUGCGACACGGACCAGACUCGUACGGGAGGCAGCAGUGGGGAAUAUUGCAGAAUGGGCGGAAGCCUGAGGCAGCGGCGCCGGGUGGGGGAUAACGGCCUUCUGGUUGUAAACUCCGUUAACCAUCGACGCGGUAGAUGGAGAAGAAGCACCGGCUAACUACGUGCCAGCAGCCGCGGUAAUUC
rnacentral:rRNA from 1 species